rnacentral:misc_RNA from 1 species
AACCGCCGUGUACGGAACCGUACGUACGGUGGUGUGAGAGGACGGCGAGGGUGGUGGGACCCCGCCGUUCCUACCCGAU